rnacentral:tRNA from 1 species
GGCAGAGUGGAGCAGUGGUAGCUCGCGAGGCUCAUAACCUUGAGGUCGCCGGUCCGAGUCCGGCCUCUGCAACCA